rnacentral:rRNA from 1 species
GACGAACGCUGGCGGCGUGCUUAACACAUGCCAGUCGAACGGAAAGGCCCUGCUUUUGUGGGGUGCUCGCGUGGCGAACGGGUGAGUAACACGUGAGUAACCUGCCCUUGACUUUGGGAUAACUUCAGGAAACUGGGGCUAAUACCGGAUAGGAGCUCCUGCUGCAUGGUGGGGGUUGGAAAGUUUCGGCGGUUGGGGAUGGACUCGCGGCUUAUCAGCUUGUUGGUGGGGUAGUGGCUUACCAAGGCUUUGACGGGUAGCCGGCCUGAGAGGGUGACCGGCCACAUUGGGACUGAGAUACGGCCCAGACUCCUACGGGAGGCAGCAGUGGGGAAUAUUGCACAAUGGGCGGAAGCCUGAUGCAGCAACGCCGCGUGCGGGAUGACGGCCUUCGGGUUGUAAACCGCUUUCGCCUGUGACGAAGCGUGAGUGACGGUAAUGGGUAAAGAAGCACCGGCUAACUACGUG